GAGAGAGAGAAGAGAGAUAGUGAACCCGCCGGCGCAAGGAAGAAGAAGAAGAAACUUA
rnacentral:sRNA from 1 species